rnacentral:lncRNA from 1 species
UAGGUGGACAUCAAAACGCGCACAAAAGAGAGCGUCAACAUGCUAAAAGAGCUCAGUAUGCAAAGUAUCAGUACAACGCGUAUUUUCACUCGCCAUUAGACAUUGCUAGUAGUAUUACUAGUAAUGGAUUUUACGCAAGCCAUGUGAAUAAUAAUGGCCGUAGUAGCCAUUAUUUUUCACAUCAAACUCGCGAUAUAAAUGAAAGUCGUUCAUUGGGGUUAUGGAGAGUACCUGCAACUCAUCAUGUUCAUCAUAGUACUAGUAAUUCUUAUUCUAAUUUUGUAAGACCAGGGUAUGUUAAUGGAGAUUGGAAGAAGAACACAAAUAGCUCAAUAUCUGUUAGCAGAUUUGGUUAUGAAUUGAAGGAAGGAGCUCAUCAAGAUCAUGUGAGUUUAGAUCUACACUUGUAAAGACAAUCAUCCUAGCUAUAUAGUAGUACUCUGGCUCGGUUUCAAUUUGUUUGUUUUACUUUAAGAAUGUCAUGAUCUUUUCUCUAAUUUGACAACUCUUCGAUUUCAACAUCUCACCUGACAUGUUUAAGAUCACAAGAUUAGAGGAUAUUUCGACAUGUUAUACAUAUGUUUAGUUUAAGUCCAUUACUUUCUCAAAUUCCAUGUCAGGUCAUACUAAGACAAAUAAUUAACAAAUUAAAACGGAGGGAGGAAUAAUUGUUUUUAUAGAGGUGUCGAUCGAUGUAUGAGUUUGUACAUUACAAUAAUUUGUUGUCUUCGAUCAACACAUAUAUAACUAUUAAUUUCAACAUUUUAAGUUUUUCAAUAGUUCUUUCUGAGAUUAAGUUUAUACACAAUUAAUACAAUUAAUUUUUUUUUAAAAUAUUUAUAGACAAGUUGAAUGGUGUCGACCGACAUUCCUUCGUCGGAAAAUUACGCUAUAUAGUUAGGUAAAAAUAGUUAUUUCUCAUGUUAUAUAUUAAUAUUGACAUCUCUUGACUUCUUCGUGAAUUUACUUCUUUAUAUUCUAAUACUCUUUAGUGAAAAUUUUGACUUGAUCACUACACCGACAUAUUUCUUUAAGAGUAGGCUCUCUUUUCUAGGAGCUCAUAGGAAUGUAUAGUGAACUUACAUAGUUCACUUUCUUUCCUUCUUUCAUAAUCUCGAGAGCAAAAUGUGUCUCUCACAUGCAAAGUGUGGUCACUCAAACAUUUUCGUCAAACAAUUUUAUUAUAUAAUAUUGCAUAUACCGAUUAAAAGUAAUUUUUUAGAUAUAUAUACUAAAGUUUUGAGCUUGUCUUAGAAAAAUUUCUAACUUCGACACUGAAGACGGGUACAAAUAAAUUUUCUAUAUUCUCUAGUUCAUAUAAUAUGCUGGGUAGAUUUUCAAACAAAAGAGGAAAUUUAAAAUUUAAACAACCAAUCAGGACCACCACUAACUCUUCUUUGGUAAGUCUUUUUCCAGAAAUUUUAGAAAGCAAAUUAAGAAAAAGACCAGUAAUGAAAGUCUAUGCACUCAUUCUGACUUAUCUUUUUCUCUAUUUCUGUAUGCCAAUAUAAAAAAAAAUGUAUAAUUAUUUGAAAGUGACUAUAUACAAUCUUUUCUGAGUUAGUUCUCAAGAAAUUUAACCCCACUUCAUACAUGCAACUCCCAUUGUCUCGUCAAUUUAUUUGGCUUGAUUCUGAGUAUGAUGAAGGUUAAACUAAUUAUUACUAAUGUUUGGUGUGAGUUCAAAGAUAAAAUUUUAAAAUUUUUGAAAAUAAAAUUACAUAUUUAAAAAUCAAUAUAUAUAUAAACAGACUCGAUCAUAUAUAGUAAUUAGGACAAGCAAAUUGAAAUCGGGAUCGAGGGACUAAUUUAUAACCCAUAUAUGCAUCUGCUUCUUUUGAGAUAUUGUGCUAGUUUUUUAAAAAUGUCUGGCCAUUAUUAUGAUUAAGCAUAUUCAAGCAGGUGGACAUCAAAACGCGCACAAAAGAGAGCGUCAACAUGCUAAAAGAGCUCAGUAUGCAAAGUAUCAGUACAACGCGUAUUUUCACUCGCCAUUAGACAUUGCUAGUAGUAUUACUAGUAAUGGAUUUUACGCAAGCCAUGUGAAUAAUAAUGGCCGUAGUAGCCAUUAUUUUUCACAUCAAACUCGCGAUAUAAAUGAAAGUCGUUCAUUGGGGUUAUGGAGAGUACCUGCAACUCAUCAUGUUCAUCAUAGUACUAGUAAUUCUUAUUCUAAUUUUGUAAGACCAGGGUAUGUUAAUGGAGAUUGGAAGAAGAACACAAAUAGCUCAAUAUCUGUUAGCAGAUUUGGUUAUGAAUUGAAGGAAGGAGCUCAUCAAG